CCAGCCCCGGGGUCCCGCUUCGCCCCGCGGUCCCCCCCGGCGCUGCUCCUCCAGCCCAUCCGCAGCCUGCCCCAUGCCCAGGGAUGCAUGUUGCCCCUUGUCUGUUCAGCGUUGAGUAACCUCACCGCUCGCUGGUGCGGGAGGAGGUGCUCAUUGCCACAUGCUUCAUUCUCUGUAUUCCCUUCUCUCCCUCUCCUUCUUCCAGAGGAGGAGACUCUCCUGUCAGGCAGUAAAACGCCUGCACCUGCGACCUUACGCAGCAGGAGCAAUGGUGAUGGGAGUCAAGGAGAGAGCCCCGGACCCCAAACCGUGUUUUGCUUUGUUCACCUGCAGGUGCUUCCAUGAGGACAAGGGUCUUUCUCCCUGGCAUCAGAGGCUGCUGCCCAGGAGGUGGUAGAAGAAAGGAGCUAUCUCGCCUUGCGGAACACCUUUGCUCCCUGCACGUAGAGGCUCAAGAGUGCCAGGAGAAAAGGAUCGUCUAACUAAACGUGGAUGUCUGAAGUGAAGGUCAUUCCUGUGUAACACCUAGUGGAGAAAAAGGAUUUCAUAUUCCCUGCUCUCUUAGAAACUCCAAGCCAACGGUGGGGAUUUUCUCUAUCAAACAAUCUACAGAUAUAAUGUGCAUUGAGCAGUGGAGUUCAAACCCGCAGUGGUGCAUCCUUCAUUGCCCUCUGUUUGGCUUGUACUUUAAAGCCUUGCAGCACCAAAAUGAAAGCUAGAUCCUUGUACAGUCUCCUUUGUGCUGCCUGUAACACAGUGUGUUAUCCCCUCGCAGACAGCAGGGUUAGUCUGGAAUAAACAGUUUGU